GUGAGGAAUUUUCCGCAAUGGGCGAAAGCCUGACGGAGCAAUGCCGCGUGAAGGAUGAAGGCCUAUGGGUUGUAAACUUCUUUUCUCAGAAAAGAAUUAUGACGGUAUCUGAGGAAUAAGCAUCGGCUAACUCUGUGCCAGCAGCCGCGGUAAGACAGAGGAUGCAAGCGUUAUCCGGAAUGAUUGGGCGUAAAGCGUCUGUAGGUUGUUUAAAAAGUAUUCUGUCAAAGAUUAGGGCUUAACCCUAGAUAGGCAGAAUAAACUUUUAAGCUAGAGUUUGGUAGAGGCAGAGGGAAUUCCCGGGGGAGCGGUGAAAUGCGUAGAUAUCGGGAGGAACACCAAAGGCGAAGGCACUCUGCUGGGCCAAUACUAACACUGAGAGACGAAAGCGAGGGGAGCAAAUGGGAUUAGAUACCCUAGUAGUCC
rnacentral:rRNA from 1 species